rnacentral:rRNA from 1 species
CCUGUCCUAAAAUCUGGGAUAACUUCGCGAAAGCGACGCUAAUACCGGAUAUUGUCUUUGAGACCUCGGUUUCUUAGAUGAAAGAUGACCUCUUCAUGAAAGUUGUCGUUUAAGGAGGGGCUCGCGUACCAUUAGCUAGUUGGUGGGGUAAUGGCCUACCAAGGCUACGAUGGUUAGCUGGUCUGAGAGGAUGACCAGCCACACUGGAACUGAAACACGGUCCAGACUCCUACGGGAGGCAGCAGUGAGGAAUUUUGCGCAAUGGGGGAAACCCUGACGCAGCAACGCCGCGUGAGUGAAGAAGGCCUUCGGGUCGUAAAGCUCUGUCGAGUGGAAAAAAAGAUUUACGGUUAAUAGCCGUAAGUUCUGAUGGUACCACUAAAGGAAGCAUCGGCUAACUCCGUGCCAGCAGCCGCGGUAAUACGGAGGGUGCAAGCGUUGUUCGGAAUUACUGGGCGUAAAGAGCGUGUAGGCGGUAUGGUAAGUCAGAUGUGAAAGCCCUGGGCUUAACCCACGAAGUGCAUUUGAUACUGCCAUUCUUGAGUAUGGGAGAGGUGAGUGGAAUUCCCAGUGUAGAGGUGAAAUUCGUAGAUAUUGGGAGGAACAUCCGUGGCGAAGGCGACUCACUGGACCAAUACUGACGCUGAGACGCGAAAGCGUGGGGAGCAAACAGGAUUAGAUACCCUGGUAGUCCACGCCAUAAACGAUGAGAACUAGGUGUAGCGGGUAUUGACCCCUGCUGUGCCGAAGUUAACGCAUUAAGUUCUCCGCCUGGGGAGUACGGCCGCAAGGCUAAAACUCAAAGGAAUUGACGGGGACCCGCACAAGCGGUGGAGCAUGUGGUUUAAUUCGACAACGCGAAGAACCUUACCUGGAUUUGACAUCCUCUGCUCGUCCUGGAAACAGGAUUUUCCAUGCUUGCAUGGACAGAGUGACAGGUGCUGCAUGGCUGUCGUCAGCUCGUGUCGUGAGAUGUUGGGUUAAGUCCCGCAACGAGCGCAACCCCCGUUUUUAGUUGCCCUUAUUAAGUUAGGCACUCUAAAGAUACUGCCUCGGUUAACGGGGAGGAAGGUGGGGAUGACGUCAAGUCCUCAUGGCCUUUAUAUCCAGGGCUAUACACGUGCUACAAUGGGCUGUACAAAGAGCAGCAACCUUGCGAGAGGAUCUAAUCUCAAAAAGCAGUUCUCAGUUCGGAUUGGGGUCUGCAACUCGACUCCAUGAAGUUGGAAUCGCUAGUAAUCGCGGAUCAGCAUGCCGCGGUGAAUACGUUCCCGGGUCUUGUACACACCGCCCGUCACACCACGAAAGUUGACUGUACCAGAAGUUGCCGGGCUAACCUCUUCGGAGGAUGCAGGUACCUAAGGUACGGCCAGUAAUUGGGGUGAAGUCGAAGCAAGGUA